rnacentral:rRNA from 1 species
UACAGAGGUCCCGAGCGUUGUUCGGAUUCACUGGGCGUAAAGGGUGCGUAGGUGGUGAGGUAAGUCGGAUGUGAAAUCUCCGAGCUCAACUCGGAAAUGGCAUUGGAAACUACCUUGCUAGAGGGUUGGAAGGGGGACUGGAAUACUUGGUGUAGCAGUGAAAUGCGUAGAUAUCAAGUGGAACACCAGUGGCGAAGGCGAGUCCCUGGACAACUCCUGACACUGAGGCACGAAAGCUAGGGGAGCAAACAGG